UAGGGAAUCCUCCACAAUGGGCGCAAGCCUGAUGGAGCAACACCGCGUGAGUGAAGAAGGGUUUCGGCUCGUAAAGCUCUGUUGUUAAAGAAGAACGUGGGUAAGAGUAACUGUUUACCCAGUGACGGUAUUUAACCAGAAAGCCACGGCUAACUACGUGCCAG
rnacentral:rRNA from 1 species